GGGGGCGAGUUAGAUUCGAUGGGGGCAGAUACGGGUCGGAGUAGCGAGCCGAGGCCCCGUACCUCGUCAAAAACGGGAACCGUCAUAACUGCCAACGAAGAGUACGCUCUAGCUGCGUAAGACAGCUACGUCCCUCCUCGCCUUUCCUGCGGGCGUGGAGAGGGCGCCAAACUAGCAGGAUACCUCCUCACGUAGCCCGGCCGCGGGGAGGGAAAUUCACGGGCUAGUCUCUCAGGCAUCCUGCCUGUGGGAGGCGUGAGAGGCGAAGGGAAAACGCAGGCUACGCUCGUAGAGACUCCGAUCGGUAUGCUUCCAGACGCGGCGGGCAGCUCGCCGCCGCCUCCAC
rnacentral:tmRNA from 1 species